rnacentral:misc_RNA from 1 species
GUCUACGUGCACCGACGGCGGCACAGCUCGUAUGCUCCCCCUCCUGGAGCCAUUCCACGAUUGGUCUCUGACAGUGGUGCUGCGUCAGUCAGGUCGUUUUCUGUGGUGCUCCACCACGCAGCACUACAAGACCUGCCUCAAGGCGGAAACGUGUGCCGCCAUUGCCGGCCUCGAUGCAGUCGUCUUCAGUUUUGGACGUGCGGAGCGUUGUGGCACGGUGCCGAAGAAGCUGGCGCGCAGCUAUCAGACUUCCGGCCACCUCAUCCUAUCCACAGCCGUGUCUGCGGCGGAGUGGGCAGAGCGCCACCAGGGCGUUUCCGGUUUCAACGAGCUAGUGACCGCGGUGCAGAGGGAACUACCUUCGCGACGCUCACUGAGUCUUUUGCCACCCCGUGCUGGUGGUCGUGAUGCCGUGCUCCCACAGCGGCGGGCGCGUGCACGCCGUCAGCGUUCUUAUGUGCAGCCGCCACGGCGGCGUUUGCUUUGGUUCUGCUGCGCCGAGCGAUGCAGCGGCGCUUGUUGAGAGGAUCCACCGGGACGAUGCAGUGGUGCUGGACUGACCGAAGGACCGUGUGCAAGGACGGACGAAAUCGUCAUCGAGAGGACGUCUGCCUCAGCUUCGAUGUGCAGCGUGCACGUCCACACACACAGACACACGCACAUACCCACCACCGCUCCUUUUCUAAGCUCCAACACCUCUGGUCGUGUGUGCCGGGUGCGAAAAGGAGGAAGCAAAUGGGCGUGUCGCUAUGAUGGGUGUACGUGUGGUGUGCCGCUGCAGCCAUACGAGUACUUUGAUCACGCGCCAGGCCUGCUUGCACGAGUCCUCCGUUGCUUCACUGGUUGUUGCCGAUGCGCUUCCGUCCGCUUGCAUGUCUCGUGCAUGACGCAACGUACAGGUCCUACCGCCAUCGUGCAGCUCCGCUAGAGCACGUCGGCGUCGCAGCUGGGCCUCCCACGCACGACGCCCCUUCGCUUUUUUUGUGUGUUGUUCUUUCCGCGUCGCACUACAGUGUCCUACUCCUUUGCGUGCGAGCCGGUGUCUCCUGCUGCCAGCGCACCGCCCUACCGCCCUUCUCCCUCCCUCCAAGCCCGCGGUGCGCUCGCCAACGUAUUCACUGCGCCAACGCGCCACUCAGCACAGACAGCCAAAGCAACUCGCCAAGUACUUCGUUCUGUGUCCAUUGCGUGUCCGCGUAGCAGAACCCCACCCCCUGUCGCCUCUACUGCCUGCUCGUACUCCAUGUGCGAGUCGGGGUGAUUGCAUGUGUAGGACCCCUCCAUCCAAAGAGGGAUAAGGAAGCAGCUGCAUGGGCAAUGGCAUGUUUGGUUGUCUGUGUGCGCCCCCCCUCCCUCCCUCCCUCUCCUUGUGCUGCUGUCAUUGUGCUAAACUGGGCAGAUGAGAGAGAGAGAGGCAGCGGAGGCACUUCAGAGAAAAAGCGAAAAGGAUCGGGGUGCGCACAGAACGGCCCUUGCUGCGCUUAUCUUCACUCUCCUUGGCCCGCCGCUCUGCACCCGUCCCUGCCGUCUGUCUUAGCACAUGUGCUGCAAUCUCCCCGGUCAUGCUGUGUGUCUGCUUUCCUUGUCUCCCCCUUCCCUCGUUGCUUGACCCGGUUCGCAUGCGUGCACACGCGCCACAACUUCAAUCAG